AUUGAACGCUGGCGGCAGGCCUAACACAUGCAAGUCGAGCGGAUGAAGGGAGCUUGCUCCUGGAUUCAGCGGCGGACGGGUGAGUAAUGCCUAGGAAUCUGCCUGGUAGUGGGGGAUAACGUCCGGAAACGGGCGCUAAUACCGCAUACGUCCUGAGGGAGAAAGUGGGGGAUCUUCGGACCUCACGCUAUCAGAUGAGCCUAGGUCGGAUUAGCUAGUUGGUGGGGUAAAGGCCUACCAAGGCGACGAUCCGUAACUGGUCUGAGAGGAUGAUCAGUCGCACUGGAAGUGAGACACGGUCAAGACUCCUACGGGAGGCAGCAGUGGGGAAUAUUGGACAAUGGGGGAAAGCCUGAUCCAGCCAUGCCGCGUGUGUGAAGAAGGUCUUCGGAUUGUAAAGCACUUUAAGUUGGGAGGAAGGGCAGUAAGUUAAUACCUUGCUGUUUUGACGUUACCAACAGAAUAAGCACCGGCUAACUUCGUG
rnacentral:rRNA from 1 species